rnacentral:rRNA from 1 species
CGUCCUACGGGAGGCAGCAGUCGGGAAUAUUGCACAAUGGAGGAAACUCUGAUGCAGUGACACCGCGUAUAGGAAGAAGGUUUUCGGAUUGUAAACUAUUUUAGACAGGGGAGAAAAAAGACAGUACCUGUAGAAUAAGCUCCGGCUAAAUACGUGCCAGCAGCCGCGGUAAUACGUAUGGUGCAAGCGUUAUCCGGAUUUACUGGGUGUAAAGGGAGCGCAGGCGGCACGGCAAGCCUGAUGUGAAAGCCCGCGGCCCAACCGCGGGACUGCAUUGGGAACUACCGGGCUGGAGUGCCGGAGAG